AUAAAUCUUCGGGGCAGGGUGAAAUUCCCGACCGACGGUGAUGGCGUAUGCCUCAGUCCGUGACCCGCAAAGCUAGUUUAGCGAUGCGGUUGAUGCAGUGUGAAUCUGCAACCGACAGUAAAGUCUGGAUGGGAGAAGAUAUCA
rfam:Weissella confusa LBAE C39-2, WGS project CAGH01000000 data, contig: WeissC39_1_contig00036